CAGAGGUCCCAAGCGUUGUUCGGAUUCACUGGGCGUAAAGGGUGCGUAGGCGGUCAGAUAAGUCUGAUGUGAAAUCUUCGAGCUCAACUCGGAAACUGCAUCGGAAACUAUCUGGCUGGAGGAUUGGAGGGGAGACUGGAAUUCUCGGUGCAGCAGUGAAAUGCGUAGAUAUCGAGAGGAACACCAGUGGCGAAGGCGAGUCUCUGGACAAUUCCUGACGCUGAGGCACGAAAGCUAGGGGAGCAAACAGGAUUAGAUACCCUGGUAGUCCUAGCCCUAAACGGUGCACGUUUGCUGUAAGAGGAAUCGACCCCUUUUGUGGCGAAGCUAACGCGUUAAACGUGCCGCCUGGGAAGUACGGCCGCAAGGUUA
rnacentral:rRNA from 1 species